GAGAGCUCAACUGUGCAUGCACUUUUCUAUUUGGUGCUUGUAGACGUUAUGGGAAAGUUGUCUCUCUCCCUACAUCUCUCUCCCUCUCCCCAUCCCUCCCUCCCUCCUUCUCUUCGUCUAUCAUGUGCUUGGGAUAUGCUCAUGCUUUGCACAGAGCAGCCGAAGCACGCCUAAUGCAGGCUACUGAGUGUUAGCGGCAAUUUUAAAGUGAUGCCCCCCCACCAAAUAUAAUACGGCUGGGAUAUUUGAGGGGAACAUAUAGGACCACGUCACGGUACACACGGACCCAACUGCACACCGCUGUUCUUCUGCUUGGGACGCUUGCUGGUCGAUUGCAGUGAUUUGACCCACCUUUAGGAAUCAUGGAGAAAUGGAGCUGUGGAGAACUGCAGGCAGCAGGAAGUAGAGGUCAACACAAGAUCUCUGGGAUUUUGCUCGCCACUGGACCCACUUGAGGUUGGAUGGAGACCUCGUAGAUCAUGACCCAGAAACAAAUGGCAUAAUGACUGGAGUCUCCAGGCUAAGACGUCAAGGAUAUUCAGCUGAUCUCAGAGGUAACUGAGUCCUGCUGGUCGACUAGAGAGGAGCCCAGAUUUCAAGACAGGAGCUUCAAGAUGUCUACUCAUAAUUCUCACAAGCUCUAGCAGCUUCACAUUACUCUCUACGACACUUGGACCUGCACUGAACUCUUUAUUUCUGUAUUUCUGUCAACUGGUUAUAUAAGAUUAUUGACCAAACUGACAAAUACUGUGACCUUGCACUGAUAUAAGAAUUUAUAUGUAUUUUUAUUUUGAUAUGGGACAAUACUUAAUAAGAAAACGGGAUGAAAGUAUUCCUCACAUUCAGACUAUUUCAUGUAAUUGAUUGAGUCUAACAAGUAUAUUUUUUGACAGCUAAAUAAAUGCAUUUUUUUCCCUUUAAGUGAUGUUUUAGCGUGAGUUAUUUCCUCCCUUCAGUGUAGUGCUUUGGCACUCCAGGUAAAGAACAAUGUGCUUGACAUAAUUGGGUCCUAUUUGGUUAUGAAAAGAGCAUGCGUGCUGAUAAAAGCUGGCAGGGUGAUCAAAGCACCGUGCGUCCUGAUCAAAAUCAUACACCUGACACAGUUGUAGUUUACCCAGACAGACGCAACGUUGGGAAACAGGUUCAGACAGUACCAAGAAGCCUCCCUGUUUAAAAUCGGCUCUGUUUCACAUUGUGUGCUGUUUUUUUUUGGUGUGCUACUGUGUGUCUAUCAAAUCAAAUGUACCUGUAUGUGCAAAAUAUGAAACAACAAUUAAAACUAGAGUGAUUCUA